rnacentral:rRNA from 1 species
GACGAACGCUGGCGGCGUGCUUAACACAUGCAAGUCGAACGGAAAGGCCCUUCGGGGUACUCGAGUGGCGAACGGGUGAGUAACACGUGGGUGAUCUGCCCUGCACUUUGGGAUAAGCCUGGGAAACUGGGUCUAAUACCGAAUAGGACCACGCGCUUCAUGGUGUGUGGUGGAAAGCUUUUGCGGUGUGGGAUGGGCCCGCGGCCUAUCAGCUUGUUGGUGGGGUAAUGGCCUACCAAGGCGACGACGGGUAGCCGGCCUGAGAGGGUGACCGGCCACACUGGGACUGAGAUACGGCCCAGACUCGUACGGGAGGCAGCAGUGGGGAAUAUUGCACAAUGGGCGCAAGCCUGAUGCAGCGACGCCGCGUGAGGGAUGACGGCCUUCGGGUUGUAAACCUCUUUCAAUAGGGACGAAGCGCAAGUGACGGUACCUAUAGAAGAAGCACCGGCCAACUACGUG